ACCGACCACCGUGGGUGCAGACGAGGUACAGAGGUCGGCGGACACUGCUGGUGAGCUGCCGCGCUCCGCUCGACAUGGCUCCGGGACGUUCACUGCUGCUGAGUCUGACCCUGCUGACUGCCGGAGUUACUUUAUGCACGUCGAAAGGGUGCACGGCUACCCAGUACCUACCGGUGCGGGGAGUCCGGACACUGCAUUCCCCAUACGUGGCGGUGUGACGGCGAGGAGGACUGCCCGGACGGCGAGGACGAGCACGACUGUCCCGGCAGCGGCACUUGUGAGUCGCACCAGUUCGCCUGCGCCACCGAACCGCGGUGCGUGCUCCAGUUCUUUGUAUGUGACGGGGAUUACGACUGUUCCGACGGCAGCGAUGAGGCCAACUGUGACACCCCGCUCGGUCUAAGGCCGGAGGUCACGGAGCCAGAGCCGGAGGUCACGGAGCCAGCGCCGGAGGUCACGGAGCCAGCGCCGGAGGUCACUGAGCCAGCGCCAGCGAUCAGUGAUCCAGCGCCCGUGGAACCGAGGUUGCCCACGCCGACUGCCGAGGAGCCGACUGGGGCCCGCUCAAGUGACCGUUCCGCCGGUGAAGAAGUGCCGCCUCUGCAGAGUUCGGCGGCUGCUGGGCCCGUCCCUCGGACCCGCUGGCUGCUGCUUCCACUAGUCGCCGUGUAUCAGGGGCUCGGCUAACAUGUUAACUGGUGGGCCAAAUGGCCCACCAGUGACCGGAAAUGGCCCACCAGCCUCAAAGAUUUGGCCCACCAGUAAUUUUCUGAAAAAUCGAAGUUUUCACAUGUUACAUCACGACAUAGGUAACAUUGUGAUACAUACAGAGACAGAGGCCCUACUACAUUGUUGCAUUUAUUAAAAGUAAGAACUUGAUCGUCGUUGUCCGCCUAAUACCAUCACCAUUCCCGGUUUCUUGAGAUAGCCGUAGGUUAAGCCUCGGUCACACUUCACCGGAUUGGACCAAUGGACGAGAAACGGACGGCGUCCGGUGAUGUCCGGGGGAUGUCCGUUCGUGUCCGUUGGACGUCCGUUUCUCAUCCGGUAGGUAAUAUCUAUUCCAUGUCCGGUGGUGUCCGGUGUGCUCAACCGGACACCACCGGACAUGGAACGGAUAUUAACGGAUGACAAACGGACGUCCAACGGAAACAAACGGACAUCACCGGACGCUGACAGUUCUCGUCCGUUUCUCGUCCGUUGGUCCAAUUCGUUUAAGUGUGACCGAGGCUUUAAAUUUUAUGCAGUAAUCGUGAAAGACGUUUGCCUCUGACAAUUACAGAUAGUGUCGGCGGCUUCCAGCCGAUCGAGGUCUGCGAGAGUUCUUGCAAGCUUUCCGAUCGAUCGAGUGGUUACAGUCACAUAAGCAUCUGCCGCAGACCAGUCGGUUACAAGAAAAACUACGAAUAAAGAACAGACCAGUUCAGACGGUCGGGGAUAAGCCUGCGAGCGAUCUCAGACGGCUCGCCGAUAGACACGAUAUAAGCCAGAGUCAAACUAGAGGUAGUGUCGGCAACUUCCAGCCGAUUGAAGUCUGCAAGCGAUAUUAUGUGUCUUCACGAACGGUAUGAUGCUUGCAGUCGCACAUCUGACCAGUUGGACGAAUUUCGAACCGUUCACAGUCAGCGUUCCAAAAAUUUCUCAUUUGGGCUGAAGAUGACAUUCAAGAAUAAGAAUGGAUAAUUUUCCACUCUCACAUUUUGGGUGGCUAUAAUUUUCCACUCAGACACCCAAGAGAAAUCUGAAGUUUAGGACACUGUUCAUCAGAAGUGUACAUAACUUAGUUUUUUUUAAAGAAAAUAUUAGGGUUGCGCAGUGCGCUUGGGCUUUUGAGUGAAUUCUUUUCCAUGCGACACCAAUAGGCUUAAUGAUCAUUUUCAGAGAUGUUGAGGUUGCUGCUACAACCCCCUUUUGGGGUUCCUGCUACAACCCACUUUAUAUAUAAAGUUGCACUCGUGCUGUUCACAAUUCCUCCCGAUCCACCCGACAACGCCCGAUCCCGUCCGAUCGCUUCCGAAUCUCCGACUAGUCGGCGAGCGAUCCAUUCAGGGAUCGCUGAUUUUUAACAUCCGACCGGCCGUAAGUUAUCGUCCAAAGUUUUAUAAUCUGCGUCAAUAUUUUGUGCAUACUUGUGCGAUUUUAUGUGCACCGCCGGAGUAUCACCACUGAGAAGGUUGUGGGUCCCUACUCUCUCUUCCCUCUCUGAAGAGUCGGGGGGGGGUCGAGCCCCGAUUUUUUUUACAUUUUUAAUGCCAUCCUGACGUUUUUUGCAGAAUAAAGUGGCCGAAAUCUGGGGAGAAAUCGAAAAUGGGGGGGGGGGGUAUGGCUACGAAGGUCAGUCCAUGUCGCUGCCCAAGUGGCCCACCAGUCAAAAUUCCUUAGCCGAGGCCCUGCCGUGUAUGCGACUCAAAUGCUGUAAAAAUCGACUACGCACAGUGUGCUUUUAUCAGUUUUGCGGCUUGCUAUAAAAUCGACUGCGCACAGUGUGCUGCUGUAUUAAUUAUCUUUUGCAUUGGGAGAGAGUGCUAGCCAAUUAUAUACAUAUAUUAGGUAGCACAAACCGAUCAUUGUAUCAUGCAAAUAAACCUUUAAUCGUCAGGUUUUCGAGCUUA
rnacentral:lncRNA from 1 species